rnacentral:siRNA from 1 species
UAUUAUGAUUGAAGGGAUGUG